AUUCCUCCUAUGUAGAGCCUUUGCUGUAAACCUAGCCCUUUGUAUAAAGUACCCAAAGUAUUUACACAUCUAAAUACCAACUUUAACGAGGGAAUAUUAAAACUCAGCCUGUGAGACGGUGGAACAAUGCUGAAAUCAACUGAAAGAGAGUCUUAAAGAAAACACCUGGAAUUAGUAGCAAGUUUUAUAAUCUUAAAAACAAACAAACAAAAAAGCCACUGAAGCACUUUGAAAAAUAGACCUCAUAUCCAAUCUACAUAGGGAACUCCAACAGCAGCAACACAGACUCCAAUUUCUAGGAGAUGGGGAAUACAAUGGGUUCAGUCUGAAUAUUCAGUCUAAUAUAUGAGAAAUCUUGGAGUCCUGAUAGCCUUAAUCCCUGCCACAGAAGCGUAUAAAAUUUCACAGCAAAGCUGCCAGAAAAGCCAAGACCACACCAGGAAAGCCGUCUGCUUACAAGAAGAUACCUGCCAGGUCUUGUCUGCCAAAGCCUGGACUAAUGAAUGAAUACACAAUAUCCCAAUCAAUCAAACUGGA